rnacentral:rRNA from 1 species
AGUGAACGCUGGCGGUAGGCCUAACACAUGCAAGUCGAACGGCAGCACAGUAAGAGCUUGCUCUUACGGGUGGCGAGUGGCGGACGGGUGAGGAAUACAUCGGAAUCUACUUUUUCGUGGGGGAUAACGUAGGGAAACUUACGCUAAUACCGCAUACGACCUACGGGUGAAAGCAGGGGAUCUUCGGACCUUGCGCGAUUGAAUGAGCCGAUGUCGGAUUAGCUAGUUGGCGGGGUAAAGGCCCACCAAGGCGACGAUCCGUAGCUGGUCUGAGAGGAUGAUCAGCCACACGGGAACUGGAACACGGUCCAACCCCCUAGGGGGGGCAGAGGGGGGGAAAUUUGGAAAAGGGGCGAAACCCUGACCCACCCAAACCGGGUGGGUGAAGAAGGCCUUCGGGUUGUAAAGCCCUUUUGUGGGGAAAAAAAAGAAGCAGGUUAAACCCCCGCUGUUCUGACGGUACCCAAAGAAUAAGCCCCGGCUAACUUCGU